UACGUAGGGUGCGAGCGUUAAUCGGAAUUACUGGGCGUAAAGCGUGCGCAGGCGGUUUUGUAAGUCUGACGUGAAAUCCCCGGGCUCAACCUGGGAAUUGCGUUGGAGACUGCAAGGCUGGAGUCUGGCAGAGGGGGGUAGAAUUCCACGUGUAGCAGUGAAAUGCGUAGAGAUGUGGAGGAACACCGAUGGCGAAGGCAGCCCCCUGGGUCAAGACUUACGCUCAUGCACGAAAGCGUGGGGAGCAAACAGG
rnacentral:rRNA from 1 species